rnacentral:misc_RNA from 1 species
CCUUAAAAGAGGUGGUUGCCAAUGAUUCAGAAGGAUCAAUUGUACGUGCUGUUAUAAAUUCACUAAUAAAUAUGGAGAGAACAAAGCCUGGAUCAGCUGAUCUCCUUGUUAGAAGUUUGCUUCAGCGAUUGUCAAGUUCAAAAGAAUCUUCAAUGAAAGAUCUACAGGAGUUAGCAGCUCGACUGUUCUCUAAAGGCAAGGCAGCUCCUGAAGAAACACAAAAUGCGAAUGCAGAAGCUGAAAACAAUAAGAAGAAGCAACAAAAUAAGGAAUACAAUUCAAAUGCCAAUUUAAGCCCACUUGCGAGGUUUCUACUCUCAAGAUGGCAAAGCCAGGUUUCACGGGACAGCAAUCCAGCUUAAAAGAAGAGGUUGGAGCUGGAUUACAACUUUGUUUUGUAGCGUGUUUCUUUUAAUUAUGCAUUCUUUCAGUUUUGAUGUAAAUAUCACUGUAAGAAAUUGUGCAUUUAAUAUCUAUUAUAUAUUAUGAUUAUUUUUUUUCCUUUUUAUAGUUUUAUUUGCAGGGGCGAAUUGCUGUAUAACUAGGGGUUUGCUAUUGUCAUAUU